AAGUCGUAACAAGGUUUCCGUAGGUGAACCUGCGGAAGGAUCAUUACCAAAUCCAAAUCCCAACCCCUGUGAACUUGUAAAUGUCUGUCUUUGGGGGAAAGACCCUAUAGUGUGUUUCCCCCAUAUUUUUAUUAAACAACUUUUUUUUAAAAUUUUGUUGGAAUAUACUUUUAUUAAUAUUUAUAAUAAAAGACAACUUUUAACGGUGGAUCUCUUGGCUCGUGGAUCG
rnacentral:misc_RNA from 1 species